AUUGAACGCUGGCGGAAUGCUUUACACAUGCAAGUCGAACGGCAGCACGGGGCAACCUGGUGGCGAGUGGCGAACGGGUGAGUAAUACAUCGGAACGUGCCCAAUCGUGGGGGAUAACGUAGCGAAAGUUACGCUAAUACCGCAUACGAUCUACGGAUGAAAGCGGGGGAUCGCAAGACCUCGCGCGAAUGGAGCGGCCGAUGUCAGAUUAGGGUAGUUGGUGGGGGUAAAGGCUCACCAAGCCAACGAUCUGUAGCUGGUCUGAGAGGACGACCAGCCACACUGGAACUGAGACACGGUCCAGACUCCUACGGGAGGCAGCAGUGGGGAAUUUUGGACAAUGGGCGCAAGCCUGAUCCAGCCAUUCCGCGUGCAGGAUGAAGGCCUGG
rnacentral:rRNA from 1 species